GUGUAAACCACGUGAUCAUCCACGCGCGCACUGCAGAGUGGCUGAGACCGAGAUUUGUGCAAUUGAGAUACCAGCGAUCGUUGCCAAAGCCCUGUUGCCUGUGGAAAAGGAUAUUACAAGUGGACUUUCAGGUGGGAAUCUCAAUAAUUGUAACACCAAACUCUGACAGAAUUACUCAGUUCAUCAGGACCUGGAUAUUCGCAUUGUGUAGUUCUAAAUUGGAGUAAGGCCAACUUUGACGGUAUUGGGCAAGAACUUGCAAAAGAUGAUCGGGAGAGGCAAUUCACAGGUAAAGGGAUGCUUGGAAAGUGGGAGGCCUUCAAAAAUAAAAUAAGGAGAGUCCAGAGACAGUAUAUUCCUGUUCAUGUGAAGGGCAAGGCUGGUAAGUGUAGGGGAUACUGGAUGACUCGAGAAAUUGUGGCUCUGGUCAAGAAAAAGA